rnacentral:rRNA from 1 species
GUCCUUGCCGUAAACGAUGUGUACUUGAUGUAGUUAGGCUCAACCCUGACUGUGUCGUAGCUAACGCGAUAAGUACACCGCCUGAGGAGUACGCUCGCAAGGGUGAAACUCAAAAGAAUUGACGGGGGCCCCGCACAAGCAGUGGAGCAUGUGGUUUAAUUCGAUGCAACGCGAAGAACCUUACCUGGGCUCGAAAUGCAGAGGGCGAUAUCAGAAAUGGUAUUUUCCGCAAGGACUUCUGUAUAGGUGCUGCAUGGCUGUCGU